CCUACGGGCGGCUGCAGUGAGGAAUAUUGGUCAAUGGGCGGAAGCCUGAACCAGCCAAGUCGCGUGAGGGAAUAAGGCCCUAAGGGUCGUAAACCUCUUUUGUCGGGGAGCAAGGGCCGGGACGCGUCCCGGCCCGGAGAGUACCCGGAGAAAAAGCAUCGGUUAACUCCGUGCCAGCAGCCGCGGUAAUACGGAGGAUGCGAGCGUAACCCGGAUUUAUUGGGUUUAAAGGUUGCGUGGGCGGGCUUUAAAGUCGGCGUUAAAAAUUCGGGGCUCAACCCCGUCCGGCCGUUGAAACUGGGAGCCUUGAGUGGGCGAGCAGAAGGCGGAAUGCGUGGUGUAGCGGUGAAAUGCAUAGAUAUCACGCAGAACCCCGAUUGCGAAGGCAGCCUUCCGGCGCCCUACUGACGCUGAGGCACGAAAGCGCGGGGAUCGAACAGGAUUAGAUACCCUAGUAGUC
rnacentral:rRNA from 1 species